rnacentral:lncRNA from 1 species
CUGGGCUGGAGGCUCUAGCAGUUGUUGCCCACCUGGCUGUCCAUGGCAAAAGUGGGUGGGGUCAUGUGCAGCCUCCUGCCACCUGAGUGUUUCCCGGGACAUCAGGAGGCUGUAUCCUGCAGCUGAAUUUACACAGAAGUGGAACAACUGGGCUGGAAGCUCUAUGGCGACAAAUUGGCUACUUCAAGUGGUGACACUACAGUUAAAUUAUGGGAUCUAUGUAAAGGCGAUUGCAUUUUGACCUUUGAAGGACACAGCCGCGCAGUGUGGUCCUGCACAUGGCACUCCUGCGGCAAUUUUGUGGCUUCCUCCUCACUGGAUAAAACUAGCAAAAUUUGGGAUGUUAAUAGGUAAGAAGUACUUUAAACAUUACUAAUCCUCUGUGCUGAUACAUAUACGUGGGUAAAGUGGUAAAGUUCUUU